rnacentral:rRNA from 1 species
GAUUGAACGCUGGCGGCAUGCUUUACACAUGCAAGUCGAACGGUAACAGGCCUUCGGGUGCUGACGAGUGGCGAACGGGUGAGUAAUGCAUCGGAACGUACCCAGAGGUGGGGAAUAACGCAGCGAAAGCUGUGCUAAUACCGCAUGUGAUCUGAGGAUGAAAGCGGGGGACCGAGCAGCAAUGUUUGGCCUCGCGCCUUUGGAGCGGCCGAUGUCGGAUUAGCUAGUUGGUGGGGUAAAGGCCUACCAAGGCGACGAUCCGUAGCUGGUCUGAGAGGACGACCAGCCACACUGGGACUGAGACACGGCCCAGACUCCUACGGGAGGCAGCAGUGGGGAAUUUUGGACAAUGGGCGCAAGCCUGAUCCAGCAAUGCCGCGUGCGGGAAGAAGGCCUUCGGGUUGUAAACCGCUUUUGGCAGGAACGAAACGGUGUCCGCUAAUACCGGGCGCUAAUGACGGUACCUGCAGAAUAAGCACCGGCUAACUACGUG